GGUGAGGGUGUUAUAGAGGCUAAGUGUCCUUACAGGUGGGGGCAAGACACCUCUACUGGGUACCAACAGUGUCUUGAGGACAAAAGAGGACAUCUGGAAAGUCUGACAAGCUUAAAGAGAAGUCAUGCAUAUUUCACUCAGGUCCAAAUGCAGAUGUUUGUUACCAAACGGAUGUAUGCAGACUUCAUCACUUGGACUCCUCAGACCUGCCUGAUAUUCAGAGUACAAAGAGAUGAGGACUUCAUCAGUGGUGCCAUUAAUGUGAUGCAAACAUUUUGGUCACAACACAUACUACACAAACUUCGGGAGCUGAAAGAUGCACAGUCUCUUCACCAGGCGCAGAGGAAGUGGGCCAUCCAGAAUGUGGUACCGGCUCUUCAGGGCACCAAUGACUCUCUCUGCAGACCACAGAUCACAUAUUUGUGGUUAAAAUGCUGUUUAUCUACAUUGUUAUGUUCGAGUUUCACAGGAGUAGCACAGUUGACCGUUAUAUCAUAUCGUCAGUGCAUUGUGUCCUAUAAUUAGUGUUUAUUUUUCAUGUUAAAGUGA